AUGGAGCACGGAAGCCUCCUCGCGUCCGCCGUCACCGUCGGCGUCGGCGUCGGCAUCGGCCUCGUGUCGGCGCGCCUGACCACCGCGUCCACCCCAGACGACGGCGGCGUCGCCGGCGCGGAGGUGGAGGCGGAGCUGCGCCGGCUGGUGGUCGACGGGCUCGACAGCGGCGUCACCUUCGACGACUUCCCCUACUACCUCAGCGAGGAGACGAAGCUGGCACUCACGAGCGCCGGGUACGCCUAUCUGAGCAAGAUAAACUUGCCCAGCCACAUCCGGGUCCUCUCCGCCGCCAGCCGCACCAUACUGCUCUGCGGCCCAUCAGAACCAUACCAGCAGUCGCUCGCCAAGGCUCUGGCACACCACUUCGACGCUCGCCUGCUGCUGCUCGACAUCGCCGAGUUCUCGCGCCAGAUCCAACACAAAUACGGGAGUGCAAGCAGUGCCCUGGUUCGUAAACGAUCCUUAACAGAGUCUGCCUUGGAUAAAGUGUCUGGUUUGGUUGGAUCUUUCAACUUUUUCUGCAAGAAGGAUGAGCCAGCAGACUCACUGAAAUAUGAAAAGAGCCUUCUGGAUUUGAGGACGAGUAAUUGCACUAAAACACCUUCAAUUCGGGUGCAUGUAUCUUUAUUGCCUGCUGCGUUUCUCCAUGAACCUUCGGAAGACUUGGGUCCAAUCAGACAAAGCUGGAAUUUAGAUGAGAAAAUUCUCAUAAAAUCUCUUUACAAGAUGAUAACUUCCGUUUCUGAAUGCAAUCCAGUUAUCGUUUACAUAAGGGAUGUCAACCUAUUACUUGGUGCUUCAGAUGCAGCAUGUUCAAUGUUCAAGAAAAUGUUGAGCAAACUGUCUGGACGAAUUUUGAUAAUUGGUUCAUACUUCCUCGAAUCUGAUGCAGAUGGUGAUGACGUUGAUGAGGUUGUCAGUGAUAUAUUCCCAUACAUUCUGGAGACUAAGCCUCCCAAGGAGGAGACUGAUCUUGUGAAAUGGAAAACCCAAAUAGAAGAAGAUACUAAGAAAACCAAGGGUCAAAUCUUUACAAAUAUGAUUGCAGAGGUGCUCUCCGCCAACAGUCUGAUCUGUGAUGAUUUGGACUCAUUAGAUCCAGAUGACGAUUUACAAACCAUUGCCAGCUAUGUGGAAGAAAUUAUGGCCCCAGCAGUCUCUUACCAUUUGAUGGAUAACAAGGUCCCUGAAUACAGAAACGGGAAGCUCAUUAUUCCUGCAGAGAGCUUAUCUCAUGGAUUAAGAAUUUUCCAAGAGAGCAGCAGCCUUGGAAAAGAUACAGUGGAACCAAAGGAUGUCGGAAAGAAGGUUACUCCAGACAACGAAUUCGAAAAGCUGAUCCGACCAACUGUUGUACCGGCCAGUCAAAUAGGAGUCACAUUUGAUGACAUCGGAGCACUGGCUGAUAUAAAAGAGUCACUUCAGGAGCUUGUCAUGCUUCCACUUAAGCGGCCUGAACUUUUCAAUGGUGGUCUCCUGAAGCCAUGCAAGGGGAUUCUACUAUUUGGACCUCCAGGGACAGGGAAAACGAUGCUGGCCAAGGCUUUAGCAAAUGAAUCCGGAGCUAGCUUCUUGAACAUCUCCUUGUCCACCAUCAUGUCAAAAUAUUAUGGAGAUGCCGAGAAGACUAUCCGGGCUUUGUUCAGUCUGGCUACUAAACUUGCACCGGCCAUUAUUUUCGUGGAUGAGGUGGACAGCUUGUUAGGGCAGCGUGAUCGACGCAAUGAAAAUGAGCUCCCGCGAAGAAUCAAGAAUGAGUUCAUGACUCAUUGGGAUGGACUCUUGUCAAAGUCUAAUGAAAGGAUUCUUGUCCUUGCUGCAACAAACAGACCGUUUGACCUCGAUGAAGCGAUUGUUAGGAGGUUUGAGCACAGAAUAAUGGUCGGUCUCCCUGCUUUGGAAAGUAGAGAGUUGAUUUUGAAGAAGCUGCUAUCCAAAGAGAAGGUUGAAGAAGGUAUUGACUUUAAGGAGCUUGCAACAUCGACUGAAGGAUACAGUGGAAGUGAUCUGAAGAAUCUUUGUGUGACAGCUGCCUACCGCCCUGUUAGAGAGCUCAUUCAGAAAGAACAACACAAGGUAAAGGAUAAGAAGGAAAAUGCAGUGCAAGUUAAGGAGCCAGAAGCGCAGCCCAAAAGUCAGGGAGGCGCGGCACAAAGCUCACAAAGCAAGAAAGGCGAGAAUGUCAUGCCAGAAACCAAGCAAGGGGAGACAGAGAAAGGUGUCAAAGGCGCAACCGAAGGGACUGUCGCCCUCAGGCCGCUAACCAUGGAGGACUUGAGGCUGGCGAAGGAUCAAGUCGGCGCGAGCUUGGCUGGUGAGGGGUCUAUCAUGACUGCCCUAAAGGAAUGGAACGAGCUCUACGGCAAAGGCGGGUCGAGGAAGAAGGAGCAGCUCUCAUACUUCUUGUAG
rnacentral:rRNA from 1 species